AAUUUCGUAGACGUAGGUGAAACUUUUGCCAGGGCUGCUCUAUAGGGGGCGCUAGCAAGCCAUUUUGCCACACCCAUGUGCGAAACCCAUAAAAUAUAUUUUCCACUAAGAUUGCCAGUUUGAUUUGGGAACAGCAUGAUCUAAAUAAUACAGCUACAUAAUAACCGCCAUAUGCAGUUACUGAAGUAUAUGCCACAGUGAAAUAAGUCCACUGAAAGAAGAUGCUUAUGUUAGUCAUCUCAGAAAUUCUGUACUGAUUCUGUAUCUGAUGUUGUAAAUGCUCACAUCAGAUCGUGAUCAAUCACUGAAAAAGACUCCAUUAUGCAAAGAGAGGAUUUCCCAUGACACUGUUUUGUUUUCCUCUGUAGGUCCUUCUUCCCCGUAGCCUUGGGAGUUGUGCUGUCAGUUGUGAAUGUCCCUUUCCUAAAUGCAUUUCUCUCCAGCAGCUCUUCCAUGGUGUGAGCAGAAAAACAUGUUGCAGCAGUUAAGGAAUGCUGGUUGCCCUUUGACUGACUGUGAUCCCCUCUGUGUGGGCAGAGGGGAAGAUCUCGGGGAUAACGGCUCCAUAACUCAACUAUUGUUGUUUGCAUUUAUUUUUUUUUACAAUGUACUGUAUUUACGACCAUAUAAGGUUACAAUAAAUAACCAAGCAGUCAAAUGCUACUUAAAAACUAUUCUAACUUAAAACCUUUGUUUUCCAGUUUUCCAUCUAAUUUUGCUAUAAUUUACUGUUUUAAUUAAACCUCUUAAUAUUUUGUUAUGGUGUUAAAUAAAAAAGUCUCUACAUUGUU